GCCAUGAAUCCCCUCAUGACAAGUCAGCAUUACCUCAUGUGUUGUGGACGUGACUUCAGUUCAAAGGGCCGCAUUUCUACCUGAGUGUUGCCCAGGAGGUGCCACAGUCGAACUUCCCAACUGGCAACAAUGAAGAAGCCUUUCCUGAGUGGAGUGGACGUGGCUGUCCAGGUCUGGUCAUCUUCAGCAGCAGGCGUUUAUAGCGGAGGAUUUCUGGACAAAGGAUGUCCUUCCUUCAAAUGGAUGUCGUCUCCAGUCUCACAGGGCUUCUCCUGUUCCACCCCACACUACAGAAUAGACGGCCCCACCAGAGGGUCAUCAGCCAGAGCAGCGCUUGGGGACAGAAGGUG